CCUACGUGAGGCAGCAGUAGGGAAUCUUCCGCAAUGGGCGAAAGCCUGAUGGAGCAACGCCGCGUGGGUGAAGAAGGUCUUCGGAUCGUAAAACCCUGUUGUUAGAGAAGAACGUGCGUGAGAGUAACUGUUCACGUUUCGACGGUAUCUAACCAGAAAGCCACGGCUAACUACGUGCCAGCAGCCGCGGUAAUACGUAGGUGGCAAGCGUUAUCCGGAUUUAUUGGGCGUAAAGGGAACGCAGGCGGUCUUUUAAGUCUGAUGUGAAAGCCUUCGGCUUAACCGGAGUAGUUCAUUUGAAACUGGGGAACUUGAGUGCAGAAGAGGAGAGUGGAAAUGCAUGGGUAGCGGUGAAAUGCGUAGAUAUAUGGAAGAACACCAGUGGCGAAAGCGGCUCUCUGGUCUGUAACUGACGCUGAGGUUCGAAAGCGUGGGUAGCAAACAGGAUUAGAUACCCUAGUAGUC
rnacentral:rRNA from 1 species